rnacentral:rRNA from 1 species
GAUGAACGCUGGCGGCGUGCCUAAUACAUGCAAGUCGAGCGAACGGACGAGAAGCUUGCUUCUCUGAUGUUAGCGGCGGACGGGUGAGUAACACGUGGAUCACCCACCUAUCAUACUGGGAUAACUUCGGGAAACCGUAUCUAAUACCGGAUAAUAUUCUGAACCGCAUUGUUCAAAAGUGAAAGACGGUCUUGCUGUCACUUAUAGAUGCUUCCGCGCUGGAUUAGCUAGUUGGUCAGGUCACGGCGUACCAAGGCAACGAUGCAUAGCCGAACUGAGAGGGUGAUCGGCCACACUGGAGCUGAGACACGGUCCAGACUCCUACGGGAGGGAGCAGUAGGGAAUCGUACGCAGUGGGCGGAAGCCUGACGGAGCAACGCCAAGUGAGUGAUGAAGGUCUUCGGAGCGUAAAGCUCUGUUAUUAGGGAAGAACAGAUGUGUAAGUAACUGUAGACAUCGUGACGGUACCUAAUAAGAAAGCAACGGCUAACUACGUG